CCGAAGGCAGGAGUGCCUGCAAGGGAGCGCGGAGACAGGUGGUGCAUGGCUGUCGUCAGCUCGUGUCGUGAGAUGUUGGGUUAAGUCCCGCAACGAGCGCAACCCUCACCUCUUGUUGCCAUCAGGUCAUGCUGGGCACUCUAGAGGAACUGCCCCGGUCAACGGGGAGGAAGGCGGGGAUGACGUCAAGUCAUCAUGCCCCUUACGUCCUGGGCUACACACGUGCUACAAUGGCCGGUACAAAGGGAUGCCACACCGCGAGGUAGAGCUAAACCCAAAAAGCCGGUCUAAGUUCGGAUUGGAGUCUGCAACUCGACUCCAUGAAGGAGGAAUCGCUAGUAAUCGCGUAUCAGCACGACGCGGUGAAUACGUUCCCGGGCCUUGUACACACCGCCCGUCACACCACGAAAGCCAG
rnacentral:rRNA from 1 species